GCUGAGUUAGACAUUAACGGAGGCGGUUGGUGAACACGAGAGCUAGUGAAAAGAAAAGUUUGUUUGAUUUGUUUCAGCCCCAGGACCGAGGCGUUCAGGUGGCGUGACUGGCGUGCCCUGUCUGCAAUCCUCCCUUUCACCCCAGGACCGAGGCGUUGAGGUGGCGUGACUGGCGUGAA